ensembl:lncRNA
AGCUUGUCUGUGUUCCCCUUUGCCUCAGCUGAAAGGAGCUGCAGUCACCCAUGUGUGAAGAAGGCUCUUUCAUUCACUUGUCUGGAGCCUGGGCCGAUUCAAACAUCUGGAGACUGGAACAUCUGGGGCUCCUUGGACGACUACCUCUUUGUGGUUUCUCCAUGUAGUCUCUCUAGCGGAUGGCUGUAUUCUAUUUGCAGGAAGCCAUUGGAGGGUUUUCAACUGAGUCAUGAUAAAAGGCUUUGGCUGCUGAGUGGAAAACAGACCCUGCCGAACGACAGUAGAAGAAAAGGUUCCAGUUUGGAGGUUUUGCAGCAGCCCAGACAAACCAUGACAUUGUUCUUCACAAAAAAACUCAGUAUGAUCAAAAUCAUACUGAAAUUCUUACCGAGAAGUCCAUGAAUCGAAUGCCUAAUAUUUGUUUGUCUGGAUGAUUUGCAACCAUGCAUCAAGUCAUCAUAUCCUUAGAAUAUCAGAGUUCCACUGACCCAUAAUUGAGACUCCUGAAAAAUUUACUGUGAUCUCCCUGCUCUGACUGUACCUCUUUGAAAACAUCAGGUAGUUGAGAAGUGUGUGAAGGGCCAGAAUCCAAGACUAAGAAAUGGAGACAAAUGUACUUGUAAAAAUGAUACUUAGUUCACAUCCUUGCUGUGGCUAUAUCAGCAGCACUCAGCACAGAAACUGACACUCAAAUAUUUGUUGAAGGUGCUAAUAUAUUAACAUAGUAAGCACUCCAAACACAUCACAAUUAACCUUAGUAGUACAGCAAACCAACCAGCUUGGAAGUGUUUGAAGACUUGGACACUAGCCUUGGUGUUUCAAGAUGUUUCCAUGAAAGGGUAAGGAUGGCCCAACAACUACUCCAACCUUGGCUUAUUGCUGCUCACAGCUUCCUGGACUGCCUGGCCAUGGACGAUUCCAUCUCUAGCUAGUCCCGCCACCAGCCCUCACACACAGUGUCCUCCCUGUGGACAGCAGCCCCUCAUCCUGCUUCCGAGCUCCUUCUUCUUCUGCCAUACUUCCCACCCUGCACCCAAACAGGGGAGCCUUUUGUGGGAGCAAUCAAGCUCUAAAUCACUAUUUAUAUUUCUUGGAGUAAACUUAACACUGAGAAAAGGUUCUGGAAUGACUGCCCUGGGGACUAAAGCCCAUCUGGAAACAUGAAUAAUGUGAAAUGUAUCCCUCCAUGGAUCCCCC